GUAGGGUGCGAGCGUUGUCCGGAAUUAUUGGGCGUAAAGAGCUCGUAGGCGGCUUGUCACGUCGGAUGUGAAAAGCCGGGGCUUAACCCCGGGUCUGCAUUCGAUACGGGCAGGCUAGAGUUCGGUAGGGGAGAUCGGAAUUCCUGGUGUAGCGGUGAAAUGCGCAGAUAUCAGGAGGAACACCGGUGGCGAAGGCGGAUCUCUGGGCCGAUACUGACGCUGAGGAGCGAAAGCGUGGGGAGCGAACAGGAUUAGAUACCCUGGUAGUCCACGCCGUAAACGUUGGGAACUAGGUGUGGGCGACAUUCCACGUCGUCCGUGCCGCMKAACGCAUUAAGUUCCCGCC
rnacentral:rRNA from 1 species